rnacentral:antisense_RNA from 1 species
GAAGUUGUCAUCCUCGGCAGAAAGCAGGGCGGAGAUGAAAUCGGGCGGGACAUCAUUGAUGCGGAUCGGGCUGCGGCGCAUUUCGCCAAAUUCGGCGAUCAGCUUGCCGUCACUGCUGAAGACCCGUAGCGGGAUCUGCAAUUGAAUGCGUCGCAGCGAUUCGACGGAUGGCAGACCGGGGCUAAGAUAGAGGUACGCGCCGCUGAUGCUGAGUAGCAACCCGCAAAAAAUGGCAAAUCCAGACCAACAAAUAAACUUAAGCAAGCGCAUCAAGAUUCUUGGAUUUCCAGAUAA